GCCUGUGGAUGGUGCUCAGUCCGUAGGGCUGAAGAUCACACCCUGAUGGGAAGAACACACCCAGGCAGAAGAACACAAGUGCAAAGACCUGCGGAUCACGGCAGACUCCCACGCUCUCCCCUCUUUGGGAACACAUUUGCCAUCACAAAUAUGAGAAAAUCUGAAGAUCAAGGAGGGUGAGUGAUUUACCAAGGUCAGGUGACUGGUGUUAAUUCCAAGGUUAAAUUUGAAAGAUGAAGACACUGGCCCAAAGAAGUGAAGAGACUCCCCCAAAUCAGAAGCUAAUGAACAUUAAAAUUGUGUCUGAACCCCGAAGCCACUACAAGACAUAUGCCAAAACCUGGAAACGAAUUGGGUGAUGUAUUUCUAAGAAAAUGUAAACCUAUACAUUGCUCAUGGUUUCAGAGGACAUGUAACCCACCCACCUAGCAUCUAAGGCUGAGGAAUCUUUGGUAGGAUUUCAUGAAAGGGAUGGACCCAGUGUCCAGUCCUUUAUUUCUUUAUUUGUGUGUGUGUGUGUGUGUGUGUGUGUUAAAGGACUGAAUCCUAGGUCUUCACACUGAGACACAUCCCCAGCCCUCUAGCCCUCCACCUUUUUAUUUUGAGACAGAAUCUUCCUGAGUCAUGUGCCAUCAUUCCCAGUUGGUUUCCAGUUGA
rnacentral:lncRNA from 1 species